GAUGAACGCUGGCGGUAUGCUUAACACAUGCAAGUCGAACGGACUCUUCAGAGGUAGUCGCCGACGACUGAGUAACGCGUGAGAAGCUUGCUAUGGGUUCAGGACAACCACUGGAAACGGUGACUAAUACCGAAUGUGCGCAGAUGUAAGAUAGAAAUUUCCUGAAGAUGAGCUCACGUAUGAUUAGAUAUUUGGUGAGGUAAAUGCUCACCAAGGCAGCGAUCAGUAUCUUGUUUGAGAUGAUGACCGGCCAAACUGGGAAUGGGAGACGGCCCAGAGUCAUACGGGAGGAAGCAGGGAGGAAUUUUGCGCCAAGGGCGAAUGCGUGACGGAGCAAUACCGCGUGAGAGAAGAAGGCUCUUGGGAUGUAAACAUGUUUUAUUAGGGAAGAACAAAAUGACGGUACCUAAGGAAUAAGCAUCGGCUAACUCCGUG
rnacentral:rRNA from 1 species